rnacentral:lncRNA from 1 species
CUCUUCUUCAGGUGCUGGCUCUAUGUGCUUAGCACUCAACCCUCUUUCCCUCUGCACACACACCAAACUCAAAACAAAAUUGUCGGAGACUUACAGGUGUGCUCCCUGCAGCCAUCAGGGAGGCUGCUACCCUCGUGUCUCAGCCUGGCACUGGCAGCCUGCUCAGUCCCAUGUAUGUGCCAGUGAUACAUCCCAAGCAGGAAAGCUCACUGCAAGAUGUUCCCCAGCUCAUUAUUUCACUCAGCUGAUUAAGAGGAGAGGUACCAGCAGCGAGCUCCUAACCAAGACACAGGGGCUGACCAAAGCACAUGCAGAUUUCAAGGUAUUAUGAAGACUGCUGGAGAACCCAGUGACUUCGCAGCUUAUUUUUGCAUAUCUACAGGCUCUGAGUGAAGGAAAAUGAAGUCCAUAGGGCACAACACACCUCUGCAAGGCAAAGCUGCUCCCACUCCUGUAGCCACGAGGACAGGCACAGGCAUCCAGCUGGCUCUGGUGUGCCCACUGCCUCUUCAGCCAAGACCUACAUGUAUUUGGAGUUUGUGCCCAGGUCUAGCAGCUGAUGGACCUCCAAGCCGUCCGUGUGGGAUAUGGAGCUGGUUGGCAUACAGAGAUUUCUACCUUAUAAAUCCGAGGUCUUCUCCUUUAUCACGUUGCUUCACAACGGAGAUAAGUGUGUCCUACAAACACAUUUGUGUUCAUCUGAAUCUUUUUAUGGAUUUGCUUUGACUAUAUUCAUUCCAUUUUUGUGUUUGCUUUCUACAGUUAUCCUAGGGAACACAUUUUCUGGUAGGAAUACUCACAAGUGUGAAUGCAGCGUGAAAACACAUUUCAAACUCAUAAUAACAACCACUUACUUCACAAAAUAAUCCCAGAAAGUUACAUUCAGCCACUUGGGAACAGAAACAUAUCACAUCAUCAGAAUAUCAACAUCUCCCAAGGAUCUGGCCACAAAUGAGACACAGAGCACAGAUUAUUCCAAUAAAUUAUUUAGCCAAUAAGUCUGAACA